rnacentral:tRNA from 1 species
CGGGUGUAGUUCAAUGGUAGAACUUUGGCUUCCCAAGCCAAUAGCGUGGGUUCGAUUCCCAUCACCC